rnacentral:lncRNA from 1 species
GCGAUGACACCAGACUCCAGUUGGCUCAAGGGCCCUCCAACCAACUCGUCUGCGUGGAAGAUAAAAGCUCCCUAGGGUCUCGCCCACACUGUCGUAUUCCCACCGCCGUCCUGCAAUCGCCGUGAGCUGAGAGGGAGAUUCACGCCGCUGCCGUGGGAUUCACACCAGCGCCUCCGCUUGGGUGCCAAUCGCCCGCUCGCAAGCUUCGCCGAGUCGUGGGGAAGGUUUCCGAAGGCCAACGCUAAGGAUUUGUCGUCGGGACCCAGGGAAUUCAUCACCGGAGUUGCGCCCGACCGCGGAGCCGCUCCUCGCCGUGGUUCUCCCUGCACUGCGACCCUCGUUGUCGGUAAGUGCAUUCCUCAGAUCUGCAAGCAUCUAGUGUCCACGUAGCACCAUCUAGGUCAGAGUUCAUGGGCUGGGGCGGGUAAAACGCGAGGUCCGACCAUGGCGCCGCCGUGGAAUGUUACCCGCCGCCGUGUUCAGUCACCGGGUUGGGGAGGAAGGUUGUGCGUCGUCGAUCAUGUGGACGAUGACCCCGAUUAGAAGAUGGGUAUCCCAGAUUACUUCCCUUGAUGAGGAUGUUGUGCCCCCAAAUGGUAUUCCUCACCCCAUGCAUGGCCAUACAGUGAGUGGGAACUAGAACAUCCCCCAUCAUUAGGUGCACUAGAAUAAGAAGGCGCCCUAUCGGGCGCUCUACCAGAUCAGUGAGUAAAUUGUUGAUGAGUAACCACGCUAAUAACUAUGUUAUAGAUCCACAGAAUAGUCAUUAGUGAGUUGAUGUGAAAAAUGAUGGCAAAGGAAAAAUACCAUACCCUAAAAAAAGUCACAACAUGUAUUUACAAAAAAAACUUAUUAGUUCCGGGACAAAAACAUAAUCCACGCUGCUGCAACAGCUAGUCACCAAUUGACUUAAAUUUCAGAAAAUAUUAUUGUAUAUCAAGAUUGCCUAAAAUCUCGAUGAUAGGAGAUUGGACAUGCUCGUUCCUCCAUGCCAACAUUUUAUCCAAUCAAUUUCUAUAUCAAAUAUUGUCUUAUAAGUCUAGUAUUCCACAGCAUGUACCAAUAUUCUUGAUUUUCCACCUGUACACAUCGAACCUCUAUAUCCGUAGCAGUCAAAUGUGUGAUCAGCGCACUCGAAUUUUACAGCAGUCAGGGAACUAUAACCAUUUCAACAACCCAAUGUGGCAAUGUGAAUAUGAGUGAAAUUCUCUGAAAAUGGCAGGCUCCCAGGUUAAAUUACCUCCCCACCAAUCAAAAUUCGAGCAUAUGAGGAUCAACAUGACUACUUUCUAGCUCAAUUUCAGAAGGCUCCAAUGCACAAAUCCAAGCUAGAUAACUUGACAUAGUCAAUCAUUCCUAACGAAGCCAAAGGCAAUGAUUUCACAGGGAUAAAAAGCCUUGGGACCAUAGCUAGUGGAAGCUUCAUGAUGAGCCAGUUUCGAAGUGGUGCAAUGGUAUCUCAGUACGAAUUUAAUACACUAUAACCCCGAGUACAUUUUUGAAACUGAUCACUACUCUUCCAUUUGUGAUUAAGUAUAGAAUAUUUAAACACAAAUGCAUGCAGGUUAUUUUGGUCCGUACGGCGAUGCAAUUUUUGUGUCCGUACAGUGAUGCUAUUUUUAUUUAUGAUUAAGUAUAGAAUAUUUAAACACAAAUGCAUGCAGGUUAUUUUGGUUAGUUAGUUGUGAAUGUGGGCUGAGAGCCAACAAACUUUGUUUGAAUUUCCAUUUGUGCGUUAAUUAUAACUUUUACCAUUUUAGUUUCUUAAGUCGUCAAAAAUAAUUCAAAGUAAAAAAAGGGCCAUCGAUAAUUUCUAAGAAAGUAACUCCUAAAAUAUAUAAAAAACAGAUUUAAAGAGAGCUUUUUAGGAGGCGUAGUUUUUUUUUACGAGGGAUGAUAUGCUUGCACGACAUUCUGGUCGCGGCCAGUGGCGGAUCCAGGAUUGAUCUAAGAGGGGGGCUAUUAAGCUAAGGCUAAUUUUUUUUAAACCAAACAAAAAAAUAUAAUUGAUGUUUAAUAUGACACCAGAAUCAAGAUAUAAUUUAAACAUUUAAGAAAUAUGUAUCAAAAAAUGUAUGACUAAAUUUGUUCAUCUUAUUCUUAUAAACAUGGAACUACUACCAAAUAAAUAAUCAAAUCAAAACUUCAAACUAAAGCAAACAAUAUCACACGUUUCACCUUAGACAGGGGUGUGGUCGCUGCUUGGCUGCUUGUGCAGAUCCGCGCGCAGGACAACGAGCGGCUGGGCGGGGCGGCGGCUGGACGACGGGUUGACAACUUGGACGUAGCGGCGGGGCGGCAAGUAGGGCGACUGGGCGAGCGACUGCCGACUGGGCUGGGUGAGCACCGAGCGGCGAGCAGGCAGCACCACAGCGGCUGUGCGAGCGCCGGGCAGGCAGCAUCGCAGUGGCUGGGCGAGCGACGGCGGGCAAGCAGCGAUGGGCAGGCAGCGGCUGCUGGCUGGGCGAGUAGGGCGAGACACUGGGCUAGGCCUUUUUCCUGUCACUGUAUUUGCUAGGCCGCGACCGGGGCUGCAGCCCGGGCAGCCCCGGGCGCAGAUCCGCCACUGGUCGCGGCCGUCUCCAUCCGCGCCACGGCGCGGCCACGCGACUUGGACUUCGUCACUACCGUCGGACCGUGCCUCGCGUUGAAGGAGACAGGCAACCUCAACCUGGCAUGAGAGCAGUGGCGGAGCUCUAUAAAAUUAACGCCCCGGGCCACUCUAUAAAACUUGAAGGUUAAUUUAAACAGUCCCUAAUAUAUUGUACAACUAAAUAUACCGCUAGAAAAAUAUACCACAAACAUAGACUAAAAUAGUAUUUACUUUAAUUCAGCAUCUAAAAAUAUAAUAAACUUGAUAAAAACAUAAAGGUACCUAAUUAGAGACGAUUUGGUCCUUCUCCGCCUCUAAUAACUUUAUCAACAUUAGUACGUGAAUUUGAAACUACAUAUUGCAAGUUAAAUAUUUAUAUAAAAUGAGAGAUACAACAUGACAAUAUCAAUCUACCAUCACAUAAACAUUUAACAAUCUAGUAUUUAGCUCGUUGUUUACUAGUAACAAAAAAGAAGCUAAGAAAAUGAGAAGCGCUUACAGAUAGUAGGACUUGCUGGCGGCUGGCCGAGUCACGAGUGGGCACUGGCCGUCUGGCCGUUUGGCCGAGUGUUACUUCACGGAAUCAUCACAUAGACGCAUAGGAAUAUUCGAAUAUGCACCGAACGCCUCACCUUGCUUCCUGCUGGUUGAACGCACGACGCACCGCGCACGCCGGCCGCACGGAACCUGGACGCGGGACGCCUGGCUCACUGGCUGGAUGGUUGGCUGGACCGGACCUGGCGACUUGCCGCUGCCGCGUCGACGGCCAGCCGGAUGGGGAGACGCCGGGCGCGGACGACGCACGGGCAGGGCGGUAAUCGGCACGGACGCAGAACACUGCAGGGCGACGGCCGACGACGAACGACGGACCGUGGAGGCGUCGGGCACGGACCUAACUCCACUCAUCCACCAGUCUGCGCCGACAGCCGCACGGCGCAUCGGCUGGCAGGCCUCUGUGUUUGGCCCGUUAGGGUUUAUUUUAGGCCAAAAUCUGUAGUACGCACUACAUAUAUAAAAUUGUUUUGGGCUACGACCCGGGCCACGGCCCAGGUGGCCCUGGUCUGAUAUCCGCCCCUGCAUGAGAGUAUGUGGACAUACGACUGCGCGUAUUUUUCGGUGCAGAGGGCUUAAUUUUCUCAGGUGAUAAGAGUUUGGAGAGUGGGUUUCGAGAGUCGGUAGAGAGAUAUUUUUAAUCUUGUAAAAAAUAGAUUAGGAGAAUAAUUUGGGAGGUCUAGGAUAUACUCUUGCUCAAUAUAAAUACUCUCGCAUUUCAACUUUUCAACGAGGGAAGAAGCGGGAGGAGUCCACGUGGAACCCAUACCCGAGCGACGGGGGGAGGCCCUGCUCAUUGGAGACCGGCCCCCGCGGGCCCAGGUCCCAGCUUCCUCCCCCGCAGGUCGCAACACACAGUCCCCGCUGCCGCUACGGUGGCCGGUGGCCGGUGGGUGACAGGCGAUCGCGCGGUGGGUGGUCGUCGGGUGCACAAGCACAACACAAUGCGGUCAGGGAAAAGCGCGAGGCGAAUCCACUCCACCGCUCGGCCUCGUCGGUAGCGGCACGCCCCAACACAACUUUUCAGGCCUUCUCAUUGUGCGUCUGUGCCUGCCCGGGGAGCCCAAAAUUAUUAACCGGCGGCCUCAGCACACCGCCCCUCACCCCACUCACCGCAAAUUUUCGGGUCCGUGAUCACGCGGCCACGCGUCGACGCAGUGGUGGCUGGAGAGCCCCGAAUCGCGGACAGCGUAUGAAUCCCCUUCAGGUUUUAAUAGAAGAGAAAAUAGAUUAGGAGAAUAAUUUGGGAGGUCUAGGAUAUACUCUUGCUCAAUAUAAAUACUCUCGCAUUUCAACUUUUCAACGAGGGAAGAAGCGGGAGGAGUCCACGUGGAACCCAUACCCGAGCGACGGGGGGAGGCCCUGCUCAUUGGAGACCGGCCCCCGCGGGCCCAGGUCCCAGCUUCCUCCCCCGCAGGUCGCAACACACAGUCCCCGCUGCCGCUACGGUGGCCGGUGGCCGGUGGGUGACAGGCGAUCGCGCGGUGGGUGGUCGUCGGGUGCACAAGCACAACACAAUGCGGUCAGGGAAAAGCGCGAGGCGAAUCCACUCCACCGCUCGGCCUCGUCGGUAGCGGCACGCCCCAACACAACUUUUCAGGCCUUCUCAUUGUGCGUCUGUGCCUGCCCGGGGAGCCCAAAAUUAUUAACCGGCGGCCUCAGCACACCGCCCCUCACCCCACUCACCGCAAAUUUUCGGGUCCGUGAUCACGCGGCCACGCGUCGACGCAGUGGUGGCUGGAGAGCCCCAAAUCGCGGACAGCGUAUGAAUCCCCUUCAGGUUUUAAUAGAAGAGAUGAGGUGAUCGAAGUGACUAGCAAUUUGCAGGCUCAAAUGGGGUUAAACCAAGACAACAUGCAACUUGCGGUGAAUGAGUUUAUCCCUCAAUAGUAAUUUAUCAACGAAUCAGAAUAAAUGGCCCCCGAAGAUCCUAUAGAUUUGGAAGGGGAUUUUCACAAUCAAACAAAUGAUCAGUCACAUGAUUUAAUUUUCUUCGAUCAAUCGGGAUGAACCGCUUGUUACCUUAGAGCCAUUGGGCAAGAUGUCACCUUUACCAUAGAAGACCUCAUGGCUAGAAUUUAUGGGCAAUCUUCAAGCUCCUCAAAAGAUUUUAAGAUUAGCUCAACCCCAUAACUUGCUCAGUUAUUCGCAUGGUGGGAAAUGUGAAGAUUAGGCUAACAAGUGACAACUACCUUUAAAUUUGCUGUCUAAUAUGGUAUGGUUGAACUUCUAAAAGUGCUUAUCUAUCCUCGCUCCUCGGCUUGAUGAUUUAGGCCUAGAAACGGCUGGCUUGGCAAUUGUACCUUUCAAACCUGCAUGGGCUACUCAACUUCUAACCCUUUAGGCCUCUAUUUUGGUUUCACCUAGAUCUGCCCCCUCAUUCUAACAUGGAUGUCUGUACUCCUGUACUUAUUGAGCAGGAGGGACAUCAGGUUGGGGGCUUCGAUGCCUCCUAGGGGCCCCUGGUGGCCUCUAGGGUGGUGUAUGAUAGCAUGGUGAACCUGGGUGCAUGGCUUAAAAUUCCUAGGCUAACAUCUAUUUCUAACCCUGCUUCCACUAGUUGUUUCUUAGGUUUGUGGGAGUCCAAGACUCAACUUGAUUAUGAAGACCCAACUUGUUCCACUGGCAGAUAGACCCAAGAAGAAGAGUAGAAUGAUUUAUGAACAUGUCAACCUAGAGGCUUCGUGUCAGGGAUAUGGUCCUCGGUUCAUGGGGCCCAUCAGAUGGCAAGCACACUGGGGAAAUGGCCCUGACAUCUGCGGCCCAUCGGUUAGCUAGAGGAGAUAGGUAAUGUCUACCCUAAAAGACCCCCCUCGGACGAACCCCGUGGCACUGAGCUUGGUGUCGGGUGUAGCGGACCCUAACAGGGGGCCGAGCGUGUCGAAGGGAAACCACUCGAGUGGAUCCCGACUCGAGACUUGAAAGGGAAUUAGGCUUACACCUAGUCCCUAAUUAAUUUUGGUGGUUGAGUUGCCCAACACAAAUAAUUGGACUAACAAGUUUGCUCAAGUGUAUAGAUUAUACAGGUGUAAAAGGUUCACACUCAGCCAAUAAAAAGAUCAAGUUUUGGAUUCAACAAAGGAGGAAAGAGGCAACCGAAGGCACCUCUGGUCUGGGGGCACCGGACUGUCCGGUGCACCAGAGGACUCCAACUCGAACUCGCUACCUUCGGGAAUCUCCAACGGCUAGUCCGCUAUAAUUCACCGGACAUGUCCGGUGUACACCGGACUGUCCGGUGCAACUCCGGAGCAACGGCUAUUCGGCGCCAACGGCUACCUGCAACGCAAUUAAUGCGCGCGCAGCGCGCGCAGAAGUCAGGCGCGCCCAUACUGGCGCACCGGACAUGGUACAAUGCAUGUCCGGUGCGCACCGGACAUCCAGGCGGGCCCACAAGUCAGAAGCUUCAACGGUCAGAAUCCAACGGCAGUGAUGAUGUGGCGGGGGCACCGGACAUGUCCGGUGUGCACCGGACAUGUCCGGUGUGCACCGGACUGUCCGGUGCGCCAUCGAACAGACAGCCUCCACCAACGGUCAAGUUUGGUGGUUGGGGCUAUAAAUACCCCAACCACCCCCACAUUCAUUGCAUCCAAGUUUUUCACUUCUCAACCACUUACAAGAGCUAGGCAUUCAAUUCUAGACACACCAAAGAGAUCAAAUCCUCUCCAAUUCCACAAAAAGCUUUAGUGAUUAGCGAGAGAGAUUUGCCGUGUUCUUUUGAGCUCUUGCGCUUGGAUUGCUUCUUUUCUUUCUCACUUGCUCUUGUGAUCAACACUCAAUUGUAAUAAAGGCAAGAGGCACCAAUUGUGUGGUGGCCCUUGCGGGGAAGUUUUAUUCCCGGCUUUGAUUUGAGAAGAGAAGCUCACUCGGUCCGAGGGACCGUUUGAGAGAGGGAAGGGUUGAAAGAGACCCGGCCUUUGUGGCCUCCUCAACGGGGAGUAGGUUUGAGAGAACCGAACCUCGGUAAAACAAAUUCGCGUGUCUCACUUCACUAUUCGCUUACGAUUUGUUUUGUGCCCUCUCUUGCGGACUUGAUUAUAUUUCUAACGCUAACCCGGCUUGUAGUUGUGAUUAUUUUUGUAAAUUUCAGUUUCGCCCUAUUCACCCCCCCCCUCUAGGCGACUUUCAAUUGGUAUCAGAGCUCGGUGCUUCAUUAGAGCCUAACCGCUCGAAGUGAUGUCGGGAGAUCACGCCAAGAAGGAGAUGGAGACCGGCGAAAAGCCCACUACAAGCCACGGGAGCACUUCAUCGGAAGAGUCCCGCACCAAGAGGAAGGAGAAGAAGAAGAGCUCCUCCAACAAAGGGAAGGAGAAGAAAUCUUCUUCUCACCACAAAGAGAAGAAGGAGAGAUCUUCCUCUCACAAGCCACAUCGGAGUGGGGACAAGCACAAGAGGAUGAGGAAAGUGGUCUACUAUGAGACCGACACUUCAUCAACAUCGACCUCCGGCUCCGAUGCGCCCUCCGUAACUUCUAAACGCCAAGAGCGUAAGAAGUUUAGUAAGAUCCCCUUACACUAUCCUCGUACAUCUAGACAUACUCCAUUACUUUCUGUUCCAUUAGGCAAACCACCAACCUUUGACGGUGAAGAUUAUGCUAGGUGGAGUGAUUUAAUGAAAUUUCAUCUAACCUCACUCCACAAAAGUAUAUGGAAUGUUGUUGAGUUUGGAGCACAGGUACCAUCCGUAGGGGAUGAGGAUUAUGAUGAGGACGAAGUGGCCCAAAUCGAGCACUUCAACUUCCAAGCCACAACCAUACUCUUGGCCUCUCUAAAUAGAGAGGAAUACAACAAGGUGCAAGGGUUGAAGAAUGCAAAGGAAAUUUGGGACCUCCUCAAGACCGCGCACGAGGGUGAUGAACUAACAAAGAUCACCAAGCGGGAAACGAUCGAGGGGGAGCUCGGUCGCUUUCGACUCCGCCAAGGGGAAGAGCCACAAGACAUGUACAACCGGCUCAAGACUUUGGUGAACCAAGUGCGCAACCUUGGGAGCAAGAAGUGGGAUGACCACGAGGUGGUUAAGGUUAUUCUUAGAUCACUCAUUUUCCUUAACCCCACUCAAGUUCAAUUAAUUCGUGGUAAUCCUAGAUAUACUCAAAUGACCCCCGAGGAAGUUAUCGGGAAUUUUGUGAGCUUUGAAUGUAUGAUCAAGGGCUCCAAGAAGAUCAACGAGCUUGAUGAACCCUCCACGUCCGAAGCACAACCGGUGGCAUUCAAGGCGACGGAGGAGAAGAAGGAGGAGUCUACACCGAGUAGACAACCAAUUGAUGCCUCCAAGCUCGACAAUGAGGAGAUGGCUUUGAUAAUCAAAAGCUUUCGCCAAAUCCUCAAGCAACGGAAGGGGAAGGAUUACAAAUCCCGUUCCAAGAAGGUUUGCUACAAGUGUGGUAAGCCCGGUCACUUUAUCGCUAAAUGUCCAUUAUCAAGUGACAGUGACAGGGAUAACGACAAGAAGGGAAAGAGGAAAGAAAAGAAGAGGUACCACAAGAAGAGGGGCGGCGAUGCCCACGUGUGCCGCGAGUGGGACUCCGACGAGAGCUCCACCGACUCCUCCUCUGACGAGGACGCCGCCAACAUCGCCGUCACCAAGGGACUCCUCUUCCCCAACGUCGGCCACAAGUGCCUCAUGGCAAAGGACGGCAAAAGGAAGAAGGUAAAAUCAAGAUCCUCCACUAAAUAUGAAACCUCUAGUGAUGAGGAUGAUGCUAGCAAUGAGGAGGAUAACUUGCGCGUUCUUUUUGCCAACCUUAACAUGGAACAAAAGGAAAAACUAAAUGAGCUAAUUAGUGCCAUCCAUGAAAAGGAUGACCUCUUGGAUUCCCAAGAGGACUUACUAAUCAAGGAAAAUAAAAAGCAUGUUGUAACACCCACUCUGUAAUUUGUUAGAAAUAAUAUCAAUAGAGAAACAAUUUCUCCUUAUGUGAGCUUAACCUUUAUGCAUCAUUACAUGUGUACACCCUAGGUAAAAACAAAUAAUUAUAAUUAAUAACAUAAAAGCCACUAAAAUAUGCAUCAUGCAUUCAUGCUGGGAUUUUAUUUUGUGCAUUUUGUGACAACAUAAAAUAAUGUGAAAGGAAAUAUAUCAAAUUCUCUAAAGGGGGAAUUCAAGAGUUUGAGCAAGAGAAGAAAGAAUACUAAACAAAGAUAAAGACAAUAAAUAUAAGGAAAUUAGUUAAACCUUCCUAUUUGUGUUCAACUUGUACAUAAAAAAAGAAUAUAAGUUCACAUAUUAAAACUGAAUUCAAAUUUGAAUUCUAGAAAUUGAAAAGAGAAAGAAAAGGAAAAGAAAAUGAAAUAAAAUAAAGGAAAACGGUACCUGGGCCUAAUCUUCCGAAGUCGGCCCAUUUACCUCACGCAACCUAUCCACGCGGCCCAAACUCUUCUCCACCGCGCGCGCGCCUGGCAUGCGGGCCCGGUCAGGCAGCCGUUGCGCGGUUUCCCCUUCGUCCCGGUGUCUCUGUCGCGUGGGCCCUGCCGUCAGUCGCACACCGCGCGCUGCUUGAACAAACUCUCCGACUAUGGCGGACGGCCGCCGGGGUUCCUGCGAUCGGCGCGGACUCUUCCCCCUUCACCCGUUAAAUGGGAGCUGAGUCGCAGCCUUUCCUCCUCUUCGUCCUGCGCACAACAUUAGCCGCGCCGCCGCCAUAACCCCGCAUACGGAUUUGAUCGCGUGUGUUGCGCCGCCGCCGCGGAUACGCUCGACCUUCGUCGCCAAGGGCCGUGCCGCCGCUCGGGGGUCGUAAAGGUGUGCCCGAGCGUUCGCCGAACCACGUGGAAACCGUACGUGCGCUCAGACCGUGGCGACUGGCACCCGAACGGCGGGAAUUGCUCGCCGGUCGUCAUCCUCCGCCGUGUAGCCGCCCCGCUGCGUGGGCAUUGAUCAUCGUUGCUCCUUUCUCGGGUAUGUAACUCUGAUCGCGUUCGCCAUAUCCUGUGCUACGUGUGUCCCAGUUCAGAUCGAAGCUUUAGGCGCGGGGUCGGGUAUUGGUGGAUUCCGGCGAUGGUGCUCCACCGUGGGGGCCCUGGUCGUCCCUUCGGCCGUAGGCUGGGGUAGAAGACGUGGCCACCACCGUCACUUGUUAGAUGUACGGCUCGGAUUAAAAACUGGGUACCGAUUCGGACGCGUUUGCCUGAGACCGUUGAUUAGAGAUCCGAUGGUAGGGAUCAGAUCUGGGCAUCGUAAAACCUUGGCCGUUGAUCUUAGAUCAUGUGGAUUCCAUUACGUACCGAUUCGCGGACGCGGCGAUCUGAUCCGGCGCAUUCGUUUUGGAUCUGACGGCCAGAAACCACUGAGACCCCUUCGCGGGUACAUUUUGCUAAAGAAACCCUAGGGUAUUUUAUAAUGAACCCGCCGUUCCACUUCCAUUGUUCUCUGUGUCUAGAACGACUUACCCCGAGCCCCCUGUGCUUAACUGAAAUUGAGGCCCAGUCCAGUAGUGAAUUAAAUGGAUUAAAUGAAAUAGAAAUUGGAUUUUUAAUAUGAAAAUAAACCUUAGAACUUGUUUAUUCCAUAGAAAAUGCAUAUGAACUCCAAAUCACUCCAUUCCAGUUGCAAAAAUUUGGUAAUUUUAUUCUCUAACACUUAGUGUCUCUGUUUUAUCAUGACAACAGUAAGAAAAUUAAUCCCACACUUAAUCCUAUUUUAAACACAUAAAACCUUUGAAAAUCCAUAACUUAAAUUCUAUAACUCCAAAAAUUAUGAUUCCUGUUCCUAGAAUUUUAUUUUAAUAUGUAGAAUAUUUCUGUGUAUUUUGUUUAUAUGUUUGGUGUAAUGUUAAUUUCUCUAUAUGCACUGUGCUUGUUUGUACUGUGGCGAGUAGAAGAACCCGUGACCGAGGAUCCUGGUGAGCAGCAGAUUGAAGUAGCUGAGCAGGAGCUCAUUGAAGGCAAGUUGUGCCCUUGACCACUUUUUACCCAAUAAUGUUCUUUAAUAUCAUUUAUCCAUGCAUAGGUUAAUUUUGAUGGGACCCAAUAGGUCACCCUAGAUUGUUUAUCUCAUUACCUUGUUUACCCCUGAAUCACUUGGGUAGUUUUGCUAUUGCUUUACAUGGUUUUGGGAUAAUCAUUUAUUAUAUCUAUGUUCCAAUUCUUUUGUUAUUCUAUUUAUGUUCAUGUCAAGAUCAUUAAUGUUAAUUGGAACAUAGAGCUUAACUUGAGAAACACGUGCCACCACAAGGGUUUAUGGACGCCCUUGGCUGAUUAAUUAGGAAAGCUAGUGGAAGACUACCUUACCCGAAAGGGGCAAGGGCAGUAGGGGAGUUGCAUGCAAGGAGGUUCUCGGGUUGAUUUAGCUGCGAUGGCGGUCGGACGGGGGAUUCUUGCAAGUGCUCUUCCCAUAAACUGUAGCGGGUUUUCGGAAGCUAGUGGAACUUUGUAAAGGCCUCGUAGUGGAUCCCUAGCCAUUCACCUCGGUAGUGUCUAAGGGCCUAGCUAACCCUGGCGACAUGGGAUACACGACUUGUGGAUAAAGGGUACAACCUCUGCAGAGUGUAAAACUGGUAUACUAGCCGAGCUCACGGUCAUGAGCGGCUCAGGACUCUCUGAUGAUUAAAUUAUGGAACCUAAACUCAAUUUGUCAUUUGCAUUUGCAUGGGUUUAUUAUUAAUUUUGUUCUCUAUUAUUUUAUUAUGGUUUGGUAUUUACUUACACUUAGUAACUGCUAAUAAAAGUUUGACCAACAUUAAAAGCAAUGCUCAGCUUUAACCAUUCUCUUUGAUAAGCCUUACACUCCAUGAGCUCCCACCUUUGGUGAGUUCAUGUCACAUUAUUCCCCACAACUUGUUGAGCGAUGAUCAUGUGUGAGCUCACUCUUGCUGUCUCACCCCCCCACAGGAGAAGAACAGGUGGUUCAGGAGGAGCCACAAAGCGAGGAGUUUGAUCUGAUCUAGGUGGCGUUUCUCAGUUGACAUUGGCGCCAACGAUCCUUAGUUCGUUUUAUCUUUAUUAUUUAUUUUGUAAUAAGUCUUCCGCUAUGUAAUAAAUACUCUGAUGAUUUAUGACAUUUAUCUCUAUACACUCUGUUAUUAUAUAUGUUGUCUUCUUGGCGCAUGUAUGAGAUGCACCUGGCUUUGUUCCUUAAAGCCGGGUGUGACAGAAGUGGUAUCAGAGGAAAUGUUGACUGUAGGACGAGACCUAGAUAGAAAUGGACAAACCCUUUCCUACUUACCUUACUCUGACUCAUUCUAUACUCAUCUCAUCUUGAUCUUGUCUCACCUUUUGCUAUUCUACUCUGAUUAAUCUGAUCUUUUCUACUCUAAGACAAGAUGAAUUUCACACCUUGGAAUCCUACCACUAUGAUCUUUUUAAGAGAUAGGGAACCCAAGACAAAAUUUAAAACUAUUUUCUUUAUUUAAAAAAGAUUGGUUGAUUGUGCUCAUGAUAAAUGCAUGAUUUGCUUCUUUGAUUGAUUGAAUUAUUAUAGAUGGACAUCUUAGCAUGUACCACCAUAAGGUAUUGAAUUAGCUAUGGUAGGUAAGAUAUUAAUCCGCUUAGCUAAUAAAAUCCCCCAAAGUAACCUGAUUUGUAAAUACCUGCCUUGUCUAUUAUUCUCUUACCAUAUGUAUCUAACUCAGAUGGUCAAUACCAGGCGGGGUGGUGGAAUUGAUUUACCGCCCAAUCGACACACUCGGAGGAUAUUUAGACAACCCCAGCCACAACCAGUAGAGAUGGAUCCUCCACCACCGCCUCCACCGGCAAGAGUUGACCCACUGGUUGCAGCUCAGAUGAGGAUGAUGCAACAGAUGGCAGACACUAUGACAGAUAUGCGUGCUCAGAUGCAGCAGGAACGCCAGGAGAUGCGCCAAGAGCGGGAGGAUAUACGUCGAGAGCUGCGCCAAGAACGAGAAGAGAUACGUCAGGAAAGGAGGGUGCAACAACAGCAGUUGCAACAGCAAAUGCAACAGCAACAGCAACAAGUACCACUGCCUCCACCACCACCACCAGUUCCACCCCGUGAUAAGCAUAGGGAGUUCAUGAGUCAUAAGCCACCUACAUUCGCUAGCUCACCUGAUCCACUGGACGCGGAUGAUUGGCUGAAGUCCGUUGAGAAGAUGCUGAAUAUUGCACAAUGUACUGACCGGGAGAAGGUUUUAUAUGCUUCUGGACGUCUGACAGGUCCUGCUGCUGACUGGUGGGAUUCAUAUACUGCCGCCCACGAUGCUGCUGAUACUAUCACUUGGGCAGAGUUCAGUACACAGUUCAGGAAUUAUCAUAUACCAGCUGGAUUGAUGAAGAUUAAGAAGAAGGAAUUUCUAUCGCUGAAGCAAGGAAGCAUGACAGUCAGCGAGUAUCGCGACAAGUUUAUCCAGUUAUCCAGAUAUGCCCCUGAUGAAGUUGCUGAAGAUGAGAGGAAGCAGGAGCAUUUUAUUGAAGGACUUAAUGGACCACUGCAGUAUGCUCUAGUGGCACAUACAUUUCCAUCAUUUCAGAGGCUGCUUGAUAAGACCCUGGCUAUUGAACACAAGCGUGUUCAGCUGGGAGAUUUGAAGAGAAAGGCUAUAUCUCAAGGACAAGGAAGCAGCAGUGUUCGACCUCGCUACAGUUCACCCCAGGGUACACCAGCUCGCACUGGCGGAGGCCAGCGCCCAAUUCAGCAAUCACCUUUGAGGACUCCACCUCCUCGACAGGCUACCCCUACCGGCACCCCGACGAAGUUUUCAGGACAGAGUCCAGGCACUACUUGUUACAAGUGUGGGAAGACUGGUCACUAUGCAAAUGUCUGCCCACAGAGGAUUGCUACUACUCCAGUUCAGAACAGGCAGCAAACUCCAGGAUCUGGCAAGGGAUAUUCUAUUGCCAAAGUUAAUCAAGUCAGCGUUGAUGCUACUCCAGAUGGUGCUGACAUCGUGCUUGGUAUGUUUUAUGUUAAUGCUAUUCCUGCAACCAUCUUAUUUGAUUCUGGUGCUACACAUUCAUUUAUGUCUGCUAGAUAUGCCAACACAAAUGUAAUACCACUGCUAAAUAUGAGAAAACCAAUGAUAGUAAUUACACCUAAAGGGCCUGUUGAGGCGAAUCAAAUGACACGUAGAUUGACAUUGACCAUUAUGGGUAGAGAAUUUGGAGCUACUGCUAUAAUAUUAGAGUCCAGCAGUAUAGAUCUGAUCCUUGGUAUGUCAUGGUUAAGGAAGACAAAGGCCGUUAUAGCAUGUGGUAGAGGUACCAUAGAACUCACUACCACUAAAGGAGAAAGAUUUCAAGUUAAUAUUGCAGUAACCUCCUCAUCCAUGCGUGCAAUGUUCUUUAUACCUGAGGAGUUUGUUGGUGACAACAUCCGGGUGGUUAGAGAUUUUCCGGAUGUCUUUCCAGAGGAGUUACCAGGGAUGCCACCUGAUAGAGAAGUUGAGUUUGUUAUUGAUCUCUUACCUGGAACCGCCCCUAUGUCUAAACGGCCAUAUAGGAUGUCCGUAGAGGAGUUGAAGGAACUUAAGAAGCAGUUAACUGAGUUACAAGAGGCUGGAUACAUUCGUCCGAGUUCCUCACCUUGGGGAGCGCCGGUUCUGUUUGUACAGAAGAAGGAUGGAUCACAGCGGAUGUGUGUGGAUUAUAGAUCUCUUAAUGAUGUCACUGUGAAGAACAAGUAUCUGUUGCCCCGUAUUGAGGAUCUAUUUGAUCAGAUGAGAGGUGCUAGAGUAUUCUCGAAGAUUGAUCUCCGAUCGGGUUACCAUCAGAUGAGGAUUAGACCAUCGGAUAUUCCUAAGACGGCUUUCUCGACUCGAUAUGGAUUAUAUGAGUUCACUGUUAUGUCGUUUGGAUUAACCAAUGCACCAGCUUAUUUUAUGAACUUGAUGAAUAAGGUGUUUAUGGAGUAUUUGGACCGAUUCGUCGUGGUAUUCAUCGACGAUAUCCUUGUUUAUUCCCAGAGUGAUAGCGAUCAUGAGGAACAUCUGAGAUUGGUGCUACAAAAGCUACGAGAUAACCAGCUAUAUGCCAAGUUUAGCAAGUGCGAGUUUUGGAUUGGCGAGGUGCCAUUUCUUGGUCAUAUUAUUUCUAAUGGAGGAAUUUCAGUGGAUCCUGCUAAAGUUAAGGAGAUAAUGGAGUGGAGAGUACCCACUACAGUUACUGAGAUUCGGAGUUUCUUGGGAUUAGCAGGAUAUUAUCGGAGAUUUAUUGAAGGAUUUUCUAAUAUUGCUAAGCCUAUGACAUCGCUUUUGGAGAAAGGAAGAGAAUUUAAGCGGGACGAGAAGUGUCAAGACAGCUUUGAUCAAUUGAAGAAAAGAUUGAUGUCGCCACCAGUAUUGGUUAUGCCCGACCUACAGAAAGGAUUUGAUAUCUAUUGUGAUGCAUGUGGCCAAGGCUUAGGAUGUGUGCUUAUGCAAGAAGGACAUGUGAUUGCCUAUGCGUCUCGUCAGUUACGGAAACAUGAAUUGAACUACCCCACUCAUGACUUGGAAUUGGCAGCCGUUGUGCAUGCGCUUAAGAUUUGGAGACACUAUAUCAUGGGGACCAAGUGCCAAGUAUAUACGGAUCAUAAGAGUUUGAAGUAUAUAUUCACUCAGAAGGAUCUAAACCUUAGGCAACGCCAUUGGUUGGAGCUUAUUAAGGAUUAUGAUUUGGAGAUUCACUAUCACCCGGGCAAGGCAAAUUUGGUUGCAGAUGCCUUGAGUCGAAAGGAGCAUGUUCAUUCAGCUAUUGUUGCCCAGCUACCUGAUGAGAUUGUCGAGGACUUCAGGAGACUCAACCUGGGGAUAGUUGCUCAUACUAAAGGAGUUACGAUUGAUGUGGAACCUACUUUGGAGCAAGAAAUCCGCAAAGGUCAACUUGAUGAUGCUAAAGUAAAAGAAAUUAAGGAUCUGAUUACUGUGGGUCGAGUUCCGGAAUUCACGGAAGAUGAGCAAGGCACUGUUUGGUUCAAGGAUAGGAUAUGUGUUCCUGAUAUUGAAAGCAUUCGAGAGACUAUUUUAAAGGAUGCCCAUGACUCGGACUAUUCUAUUCAUCCUGGUAGUACUAAGAUGUAUCAGGAUUUGAAACAGAAGUAUUGGUGGUAUGGAUUGAAAAGAGAUGUAGCUGCACAUGUGGCUAUGUGCGACGUAUGUCAAAGAGUUAAGGCUGAACACCAGAGGCCAGCCGGACUACUGCAUCCACUGAAGAUACCCGAGUGGAAAUGGGAAGAGAUUGGUAUGGAUUUUAUUACUGGAUUGCCUCGCACCCAGAAAGGAUAUGAUGCUAUAUGGGUGAUUGUGGAUAGAUUGACUAAAGUGGCUCACUUUAUUCCUGUCAAGACUACUUAUAAAGGUUCUCAACUAGCAGAGUUAUAUAUGGCUCGGAUUGUGUGUUUGCAUGGAGUACCAAAGAAGAUCGUGUCUGAUCGAGGUUCGCAGUUUACCUCAAGAUUUUGGAGAAGCUUUCAUGAGUACAAAGUUGAAUUUCAGUACAGCUUAUCACCCUCAGACUGAUGGACAGACUGAAAGGACUAAUCAAGUAUUGGAAGAUAUGUUGAGAGCAUGUGCCCUUCAGCAUGGAGGAAGUUGGGAUAAAAGUCUACCAUAUGCUGAGUUCUCAUAUAAUAAUAGUUAUCAGGCCAGUCUGAAGAUGUCACCUUUUGAAGCUUUAUAUGGGAGGAAGUGCAGGACUCCUCUGUAUUGGGAUCAAACUGGAGAAAGACAAUUCUUUGGGCCUGAACUGAUUCAAGAAGCAGAAGAGCAAGUCCGUAUAAUUCGGGAGAAUUUGAGGGUGGCUCAAACCAGACAAAAGAGCUAUGCUGAUAAUAGAAGGAGACCACUGGAAUUUGAGGAAGGAGAUUAUGUGUACCUCAAGGUGUCACCACUUCGUGGCAUGAGGAGAUUCGAAGUCAAGGGCAAAUUGUCCCCACGCUACAUUGGACCAUUCUUGAUCUUUAGGCGAGUUGGGGAGAUGGCAUACCAACUCGAGUUACCUGCUACUCUAUCAGAUGUGCAUAAUGUGUUCCACGUGUCUCAACUAAAGAAGUGUCUCCGUGUCCCUGAGGAACAGUUACCCAUGGAAGAGCUCAGUGUUCAAGGUGAUUUGACUUACACGGAGUACCCGAUCAAGAUUUUGGAUACUUUGACUCGAGUUACAAGAAAUAAGGUGAUAAAGAUGUGCAAAGUCCAAUGGAGUCACCACGGUGAAGAUGAAGCAACUUGGGAAAGAGAAGAAGAGCUUCACAUAGAUUUUCCCCACCUUUUCCCUCAUUCUUCCUAAAUCUCGAGGACGAGAUUAUUUUUAAGGGGGGUAGGAUUUGUAACACCCACUCUGUAAUUUGUUAGAAAUAAUAUCAAUAGAGAAACAAUUUCUCCUUAUGUGAGCUUAACCUUUAUGCAUCAUUACAUGUGUACACCCUAGGUAAAAACAAAUAAUUAUAAUUAAUAACAUAAAAGCCACUAAAAUAUGCAUCAUGCAUUCAUGCUGGGAUUUUAUUUUGUGCAUUUUGUGACAACAUAAAAUAAUGUGAAAGGAAAUAUAUCAAAUUCUCUAAAGGGGGAAUUCAAGAGUUUGAGCAAGAGAAGAAAGAAUACUAAACAAAGAUAAAGACAAUAAAUAUAAGGAAAUUAGUUAAACCUUCCUAUUUGUGUUCAACUUGUACAUAAAAAAAAGAAUAUAAGUUCACAUAUUAAAACUGAAUUCAAAUUUGAAUUCUAGAAAUUGAAAAGAGAAAGAAAAGGAAAAGAAAAUGAAAUAAAAUAAAGGAAAACGGUACCUGGGCCUAAUCUUCCGAAGUCGGCCCAUUUACCUCACGCUACCUAUCCACGCGGCCCAAACUCUUCUCCACCGCGCGCGCGCCUGGCAUGCGGGCCCGGUCAGGCAGCCGUUGCGCGGUUUCCCCUUCGUCCCGGUGUCUCUGUCGCGUGGGCCCUGCCGUCAGUCGCACACCGCGCGCUGCUUGAACAAACUCUCCGACUAUGGCGGACGACCGCCGGGGUUCCUGCGAUCGGCGCGGACUCUUCCCCCUUCACCCGUUAAAUGGGAGCUGAGUCGCAGCCUUUCCUCCUCUUCGUCCUGCGCACAACAUUAGCCGUGCCGCCGCCAUAACCCCGCAUACGGAUUUGAUCGCGUGUGUUGCGCCGCCGCCGCGGAUACGCUCGGCCGUCGUCGCCAAGGGCCAUGCCGCCGCUCGGGGGUCGUAAAGGUGUGCCCGAGCGUUCGCCGAACCACGCGGAAACCGUACGUGCGCUCAGACCGUGGCGACUGGCACCCGAACGGCGGGAAUUGCUCGCCGGUCGUCAUCCUCCGCCGUGUAGCCGCCUCGCUGCGUGGGCAUUGAUCAUCGUUGCUCCUUUCUCGGGUAUGUAACUCCGAUCGCGUUCGCCAUAUCCUAUGCUACGUGUGUACCAGUUCAGAUCGAAGCUUUAGGCGCGGGGUCGGGUAUUGGUGGAUUCCGGCGAUGGUGCUCCACCGUGGGGGCCCUGGUCGUCCCUUCGGCCGUAGGCUGGGGUAGAAGACGUGGCCACCACCGUCACUUGUUAGAUGUACGGCUCGGAUUAAAAACUGGGUACCGAUUCGGACGCGUUUGCCUGAGACCGUUGAUUAGAGAUCCGAUGGUAGGGAUCAGAUCUGGGCAUCGUAAAACCUUGGCCGUUGAUCUUAGAUCGUGUGGAUUCCAUUACGUACCGAUUCGCGGACGCGGCGAUCUAAUCCGGCGCAUUCGUUUUGGAUCUGACGGCCAGAAACCACUGAGACCCCUUCGCGGGUACAUUUUGCUAAAGAAACCCUAGGGUAUUUUAUAAUGAACCCGCCGUCCCACUUCCAUUGUUCUCUGUGUCUAGAACGACUUACCCCGAGCCCCCUGUGCUUAACUGAAAUUGAGGCCCAGUCCAGUAGUGAAUUAAAUGGAUUAAAUGAAAUAGAAAUUGGAUUUUUAAUAUGAAAAUAAACCUUAGAACUUGUUUAUUCCAUAGAAAAUGCAUAUGAACUCCAAAUCACUCCAUUCCAGUUGCAAAAAUUUGGUAAUUUUAUUCUCUAACACUUAGUGUCUCUGUUUUAUCAUGACAACAGUAAGAAAAUUAAUCCCACACUUAAUCCUAUUUUAAACACAUAAAACCUUUGAAAAUCCAUAACUUAAAUUCUAUAACUCCAAAAAUUAUGAUUCCUGUUCCUAGAAUUUUAUUUUAAUAUGUAGAAUAUUUCUGUGUAUUUUGUUUAUAUGUUUGGUGUAAUGUUAAUUUCUCUAUAUGCACUGUGCUUGUUUGUACUGUGGCGAGUAGAAGAACCCGUGACCGAGGAUCCUGGUGAGCAGCAGAUUGAAGUAGCUGAGCAGGAGCUCAUUGAAGGCAAGUUGUGCCCUUGACCACUUUUUACCCAAUAAUGUUCUUUAAUAUCAUUUAUCCAUGCAUAGGUUAAUUUUGAUGGGACCCAAUAGGUCACCCUAGAUUGUUUAUCUCAUUACCUUGUUUACCCCUGAAUCACUUGGGUAGUUUUGCUAUUGCUUUACAUGGUUUUGGGAUAAUCAUUUAUUAUAUCUAUGUUCCAAUUCUUUUGUUAUUCUAUUUAUGUUCAUGUCAAGAUCAUUAAUGUUAAUUGGAACAUAGAGCUUAACUUGAGAAACACGUGCC